rnacentral:rRNA from 1 species
AGUGAACGCUGGCGGUAUGCCUAACACAUGCAAGUCGAACGGCAGCACAGUAAGAUUUUGCUCUUACGGGUGGCGAGUGGCGGACGGGUGACGAAUACAUCGGAAUCUACUCUUUCGUGGGGGAUAACGUAGGGAAACUUACGCUAAUACCGCAUACGACCUACGGGUGAAAGCAGGGGAUCUUCGGACCUUGCGCGAUUGAACUAGCCGAUGUCGGAUUAGCUAGUUGGGGGGGUAAAGGCCCACCAUGGCGACGAUCCGUAGCUGGUCUGAGAGGAUGAUCGGCCACACUGGAACUGAGACACGGUCCAGACUCCUACGGGAGGCAGCAGUGGGGAAUAUUGGGCAAUGGGCGCAAGCCUGAUCCAGCCAUACCGCGUGGGUGACGAAGGCCUUCGGGUUGUAAAGCCCUUUUGUUGGGAAAGAAAAGCAGCAGGUUAAUACCCCGCUGUUCUGACGGUACCCAAAGAAUAAGCACCGGCUAACUUCGUG